rnacentral:rRNA from 1 species
UACAGAGGUCUCAAGCGUUGUUCGGAUUCAUUGGGCGUAAAGGGUGCGUAGGUGGCGCUGUAAGUCGGGUGUGAAAUUUCGGAGCUUAACUCCGAAACUGCAUUCGAUACUGCGGUGCUUGAGGACUGGAGAGGAGACUGGAAUUCGUGGUGUAGCAGUGAAAUGCGUAGAGAUCAUGAGGAAGACCAGUGGCGAAGGCGGGUCUCUGGACAGUUCCUGACACUGGGGCACGAAAGCGUGGGGAGCAAACAGG